AGUGAACGCUGGCGGUAGGCCUAACACAUGCAAGUCGAACGGCAGCACAGUAAGAGCUUGCUCUUACGGGUGGCGAGUGGCGGACGGGUGAGGAAUACAUCGGAAUCUACUUUUUCGUGGGGGAUAACGUAGGGAGACUUACGCUAAUACCGCAUACGACCUACGGGUGAAAGCAGGGGAUCUUCGGACCUUGCGCGAUUGAAUGAGCCGAUGUCGGAUUAGCUGGUUGGCGGGGUAAAGGCCCACCAAGGCGACGAUCCGUAGCUGGUCUGAGAGGAUGAUCAGCCACACUGGAACUGAGACACGGUCCAGACUCCUACGGGAGGCAGCAGUGGGGAAUAUUGGACAAAGGGCGCAAGCCUGAUCCAGCCAUACCGCGUGGGUGAAGAAGGCCUUCGGGUUGUAAAGCCCUUUUGUUGGGAAAGAAAAGCAGCAGGUUAAUACCCCGCUGUUCUGACGGUACCCAAAGAAUAAGCACCGGCUAACUUCGUG
rnacentral:rRNA from 1 species